UAUAAUACAUACUUAGGUGGUUGCAAACAGCAAUAGGCAAGGUUUUAGUACAUGGACACCAGUGUCUGCCAUAAAGAAUUCUGAUAACAAAUGUUAUGGUGGGGUAAAGGCGAUGGAAACCCCCUCCACUUAAAAUUAAGGUGGUAACAGAGACAUUAUGAAACACUAAUCUACAUCCACCGGACAAGCCAGGAGACUUGUUUUUCCCUCAGCAACUGCAAGGGAUUCUGGAUAGAAGUGUGCAAACAGGUUAACAAUGAUCACUUUUGCCACUAUAUUCACUUUGUAUAAAAGAUUUAAUGUAUUUGUCACUCAGAUAAAUUGCUAAACUGAGGUAGAUCGCAAAGAUACAGCGAUCUCUUCCGGUCCAACAAUGUGUUCUCCAUUAAUUGAUGUCAUUCCUGGGCGCACAGUGUCAGCGAGGGAGAUACAAGCUCCGAGGAACGUGCAGGAGGUAAGUAGUGGCUGUUGCUAUUGGGGGAGGGGAGAGAGAGGAGUAAAAUAUUAAGAUGGAAUCUAGAGGCACAAUAAAACUUAGUGAUAGUCAAGCAAAAGAAAAGAGCACAGCAAGAGGAUAUAAAAAAGGAGAGGGGGUCA